rnacentral:tmRNA from 1 species
GACUGGAUUUGACAGCGGGUCGGAGUGGUAUGUAAGCACGCAGUGCGCCUGAAAGUGGGCACUUAAAUCUCGGCUUUCAUCAAUUUAACUGGCGAAAACAACUUUGCUCUCGCUGCUUAAUCGAAGUACAGUAGAUUAGCUUUAUUCCGGCACAAGGUGCUGGAACGAGACAUCACCCAAGAGCUACAUGCUCCGGAGCGUCUUGAUCAGGUGGUGCGGAUAAACCGGAGAUAGUUGCCGGCGGCCUCGCGCCGACAGCGAAACUUCUUAGAGGAUAAGGUGUAGGUUGGUAGCAUCGGUCUUGCCUGCACUCGAAAACCGAAGCGAUGAUAAGCGUGUAGAAAGCCUAUUGCUUCCUCGUUUGGACGAGGGUUCGAACCCCUCCUGGUCCACU